rnacentral:lncRNA from 1 species
UAUAUCAUUCUCGUUGUUUAUAUUUGAAUAUAAACUACUUCAGGCUCAAAUAGCUUUGCCUACCGAAGAAUCAUAAAUGACCUAUACCUAUCAAGUAUUCCCGAAUAAGGUUGUUCCCCUUUAGCGAAUUAUUUACUGUUGUAGCCUCCCCCAGGUGUCUAUAGUGUAGAAGUCAUCAUUGUUCAGCCUUGUGGUAUAGGACAAGAUGGAAUAACCAAAAAUGAGAAACGAAAAAUUUCUUAAAACAUAUCAAAGAUAUUUUAUACACUCAGGAGAAAGAACAUAUGAUGAAAGAAACCUUUUAUCGUCUACAGCUGACCUAAAAAAUUAUCUGCUCGGGUUUUCGUGUUAUUUUAUUGAUAAAUAACAACACAGUAUACGUAUACACAAGUCUAAAUUGAAGGCAACCAUAAACCUACGGGGGCAUUGGAUAACAAAACCUCAGGUUUUAUUCGUCUGCAUGCAAAACAAAUUUCUUGGUAGAAGAGUUUAAAAACGGCACCAACAACAUUCUCCAAAAGACCAAAAAGUGAAAGAAUAUAUUUUUACAAAACGCAUUUGACUAGCAGUUAUAUAUAUAUAUAUAUACAU